AUACGUAGGUGACAAGCGUUAUCCGGAUUUACUGGGCGUAAAGGGCGUGUAGGCGGUUUGGCAAGUCAGAAGUGAAAUUCCCGGGCUUAACUUGGGCGCUGCUUCUGAAACUGCUUAACUUGAGUGCUGGAGAGGAUAGUGGAAUUCCUAGUGUAGCGGUAAAAUGCGCAGAUAUUAGGAGGAACACCGGUGGCGAAGGCGGCUAUCUGGACAGUAACUGACGCUGAGGCGCGAAAGCACGGGGAGCAAACAGGAUUAGAUACCCUGGUAGUCCGUGCCGUAAACGAUGAAUACUAGGUGUAGGGGGUAUCGACUCCCUCUGUGCCGCAGUUAACACAUUAAGUAUUCCACCUGGGGAGUACGGCCGCAAGGUUGAAACUCAAAGGAAUGGACGGGG
rnacentral:rRNA from 1 species